rnacentral:rRNA from 1 species
UACGGAGGGGUUAGCGUUGUUCGGAAUUACUGGGCGUAAAGCGCGCGUAGGCGGACAUUUAAGUCAGAGGUGAAAUCCCAGGGCUCAACCCUGGAACUGCCUUUGAUACUGGGUGUCUUGAGUUCGAGAGAGGUGAGUGGAAUUCCGAGUGUAGAGGUGAAAUUCGUAGAUAUUCGGAGGAACACCAGUGGCGAAGGCGGCUCACUGGCUCGAUACUGACGCUGAGGUGCGAAAGUGUGGGGAGCAAACAGG